GAUAGGUAGAUUUUUACUUCCAUAACAUGGUACUUUGUAGUUAAUAUUUGUCUCGACUGGGGAGUAUUAAUUAGGUCUACCGCUGUUAUCAUUUUACAUUUUUAAUACGUUCAUGUAAAUUUUGUCGCCUGAAGUUCGUACAUAUUUCAGUCCCUGCUUUGGAUAACUCAUAUUGGAAUAUAUUCUAUUGUUACAUGGCAUGUGUUAGUUUCCUUUUGUCCUAAAAUGGCACUAGAUAAUUUAGUUAUGUAUUUGUACUCCCUCUGUUUCUUUUUAAUCCUCAUAGUAGUUUUUUCUUAAGGGAAAUUUUGCAAAGUUUUGUAAAAUUUAUAUUUCAAAUAUCAACACCUACAACACCAAUUAAAUACAGUAUGAAAACGUAUUCCGUCAUCAAUACUGAUUUACUGUUGUGAAUGUUGAUAUUAGUUUUUAUAACAUGAAAACAUACUCCAUCAUGGAUAAUGAUUUAUUGACUAUUUAAUAUACAAAGCUAAAAUGGAUGGAGUUUGCUGAUAGAAACUGAAGAAAUCACAUUCAAAUAUUGUAAUUAUUUCACCACAUAUAUUUCAGAUCGCUGAAAUAGUCUAUGUAUAUGUUUAUUUUAUUUUUCUCCUUUUCUUUCAUGCUUUUGUGUAAUAUAAUGUUCAACCAUUACAAUUUCACUUACUCGCUCCAUUGAGUGUAAUGGUGGUUAUGGAACCAAUUCCUAUAAUUAUGAAACCCAUGUGACAUACAUAGAAAUAAACUGUUAUUACAUGUCAAAUAUAGCGCAAAAAAUAAAAUCUUGUGAAAGAAUUCUACAGAACCUCUCUAAAAAAAUUGCAAUCCAAUAUUUUUUCUCUAAUUAUUUACAAAUGUUGGCAAGCCAAUGCAAAAUGUGUUAAGGUGUUUGCAGGAAACACGUUGGCAUGAAAACUCUACAUACUUGGCUUUCACAAUAUUUAGGGUUAGGGAGACCCGUCCAUAUAUUUAGGUAUUUCAUUCUCCAUUUGUAUUUCCCAUUUCUAUUUUUAACCGAUCUUUGCUAAACUACACUAUUAUACAUGGAAUCUGUUAUAUUUGUUGUUCACCAUGUCCAAACCAAGCUGCAAGUCAUUUCAGAGUCUUACUUGACAAACAGUUUUUAUGUUUGAUCAUAUACAAGGAAAAUGGGUACUAGCAUCUGAAAAAUCAAAAUGAUGUCGGCAUAUUUAUUAUAUGAGAAAACAUGUUGGUUGAGAAAUUGAUGGUCAACAUACGAUCAGGAAGAAUGUGUCAUGUCCUAAAGUACUCUAAUGUAAAUUUUCUUUGUGAAGGGUGUAUAAUGUAGAAGGAGAUUUGAUGAGAUGAUAAAAAAAAUUGUUGUUAGAACUUACAUUCCAACAAAAUUAUAUAAUAUAAUAUUCCAAAAAUGAUUGCGAGUGCGCGAGAUGGAGACCCCUAGCUAGCUCUCUCUCAUUUUCCAUUAAAAAUGGAUUUUCAUUGCAAAGUCUAAGAAUGUAUGGAGACAACUAACACAAAAGGGAGGAUACAUAUGAUAAAGAGGAAGAUUGCAUUCUAAGAUGCCAAACAUUAUUUUUUUUAAAUCACAUGAUAGUUUAGUUGUUGAUUUUGAAUUGUCAAGUAAUUCUAAGUCCCUCGACCAUGAUCUCCCAUCUAUCAAAUACAAAGUUCUAGGGUUAUUAUAUAAUCUCAUCUCGCAAAAUGACAAUUUGAAAAUC
rnacentral:lncRNA from 1 species